UGUCGGUUAGUGUAAUGGUAGCACACGGGAUUCUGGUUCCUGUUGUGAGGGUUCGAGUCCUUCACCGACAG
rfam:Spirochaetes bacterium GWB1_27_13 gwb1_scaffold_2135, whole genome shotgun sequence.